AUUUUAAAUAAAAACCUCAAUCGAUAACACCACAAAAUAUCGAUGUGUCAAAAAUAUAAUAAUAAUCCUAUAACACUACAAAAUUACGUCAUGAAAUAAUACAAAACGAGCAUUUUCAUCAUCGUUCAUCCCUAGCACUAUUCACCUCCACUAGCCAUAAUUAAUGCCAAUUUGACAAAUUGCUGAGACUGCAGAGACACAUUCAUCUGAUUAGAUAGAAAAGCGAAAAGCGGAACUAGCUGGUUGCUGGGUGCGUUGUUGUUGUUUACUUACCGGCACAAAAUGUGGCAAAUUGUCGAGCACCUGCAGCUUGUCG